rnacentral:lncRNA from 1 species
AAGCCUGUUUGCAGCCGUCCCCCGGCAGUGCCGCAGUGUGGGGACUCGCCACGAGUAAUCCAGACUCACCGUGGGAUGCGUCAUGCAUCAGACUGGUCAAGGGGUCCCCAAGCGAAGGGGAAGCAGCAAUGACAGAGGAGGCAUCUCAAGAUUCUCUCUUCAGGACACCUGAGAGAAUGGCGGGCGGGCUGCCAAGCAGCCGGGAGCAAACAAUCCGUUGCAUAGUUUUCUGCAUGCGUCAAAUGCUCGUCCUAUCCAGGCAUAGGUUUCCAUCCAGCAGAGGUCAUGUCAAAAUGUCCUGGGGCUCAACAGUGGUGGCAAAAGAGUUGUAUGAAAACAUCUUGCUCGGCCAGCUGAAGAGAUGAUGAAUUUAUUCCUAAUCAUUCACCCGCCACCUUCUGAAGAGCGGCUCUACCUUCCUAGAGGGUAUGACCAGAAGCUGCCAAGGGGCCAUUGCUCCCUACAUGUCAACUGACCUAGAGCUCCCUGAAGGGACUUCUAUGAUUGGUUGCAGUGUUAAAUGUUGUGCCUAGGAUGCAGAUGUUUUGCUGGUUUGCUGUUCAUAAAAAUAGCUGCUUACAGUUCAAAGAUGUGAAGAUUUCUACAAAGCUUAUCAGGAAAAGGACAGUAUCCCAACAUCCUCCCCAAUUUCUCAGAGUA